UUGUGUGAAAACCAAGAAUAAUGCUUAUUUGGGCCCUUUUUUGGCCCCUAAUUCCAAAACUGUUGGGACCAAAACUUCCAAAAUCAAUCUCAACCUUCCUUUUGUGGUCAUAAACCUUGUGUCAAAAUUUCAUAGAUUUCUAUUUACUUAAACUAAAGUUAUAGUGCAAAAACCAAGAAAAUGCUUAUUUGGGCCCUUUUUGGC
rnacentral:lncRNA from 1 species